UGGGGGCAUAGCUCAGUUGGGAGAGCACCUGCCUUGCAAGCAGGGGGUCGAGAGUUCGAAUCUCUCUGUCUCCAU
rnacentral:tRNA from 1 species